AUGAGCUCGCUUGCAACUGCAAGAAGCAGCAACGCGCCGCUCCUCCUCCUCUUCCUCCUUCUCAUUUUUGUUUCUUUACUGCACAUCUGUGUGGGGGAUUAUCUCGAUGACGCCUCUGCUCCCGCCCCCACUCCCGCCACAGCCACCCCGUCCCCCUUCUCAUUCAGCUUUGAUUUCUCCAACGCAUCCACCUACCGCUUAGAAGACCUUAGGUUCGAGGGUGACGCAACCAUGCACGGCGACCUGGUUGACCUCACCUGCAACACUUUCGGGAAGAACCCAAAGUUUUGCACGGGACGGGUGUCCUACGGGCACCCCGUGCCGUUCUACGACAACGUCACCGGUGAGGUGGCCAGCUUCCAGGCGCGGUUCACCUUCGCGAUCCUCAUCGACGACUAUACUAUGAACUACAAGGGGGACGGCAUGACUUUCUUCCUUGGCUGUUACCCGUCCACGAUGCCGCUGAACUCGGGUGGGGGAAAUCUAGGCAUCAUGCCGGAUGGCGACGGCAAGAGCCGGACCGCCUUCGGGAACGACCGGUUCAUCGCCGUGGAGUUCGACACCUUCAACAACUCCUGGGACCCCAACACCACCUACGACCAUAUCGGCAUCGACAUCAGCUCCGUCAUGGACUCGGUGAACACGACAGUACUAGAUAGCUUCAGCCUCAAUGGCUCCAUGACGGCCACCGUCACCUUUGACAACACCACCCGGAUGCUGGUAGCCAACCUGCACUUUGAUGACCAUACUUACAUUGCCCCUGUUCAGGUCAGCACGCAAUUACCCGAUCCAGUCACCACCUUGCUCCCGCCUCAGGUUGCCAUAGGGUUCUCUGCAGCCACAGGCAAAGACAUGGAGCUGCAUCAGAUACUCUCAUGGUCAUUCAACUCCUCACUUGCUCCGCCUCACAAAGAUCAUGACAUGAAGGCUGCAGUUGUUGGAGGGUCGCUUGGAGGAGUUGUAGCAUUGGUGGUUAUGGUGUGGUGUAUCAUUGCAUGUUUCAAGUGGACAAGGAGCACAAGCCAUGAGGCACGAACUGGAGGACCCAAACGGUUCGAAUACCGCGAGCUGGCUUCUGCAACAGACAACUUCUCUAAGGAGAGGGUUAUUGGGAGAGGUGCCUUUGGAGAAGUCUACAGGGGUACAUUCUCCAAGGGAUCAUCAUCGGGUGCUCAGAAUCAGGCGGUAUGUCCUCCAAGGAAUCAUGUUCAUCAUCCUCCAAGGAUUCGGGUGCGUCAUCGAACUCAAACUCGAAAGAAUCAUACAGCGGUGAGGUGGCUGUAA
rnacentral:rRNA from 1 species